rnacentral:siRNA from 1 species
UGGGCGGUGACUCACGGCCGGGU